rnacentral:rRNA from 1 species
AGAGUUUGAUCAUGGCUCAGAUUGAACGCUGGCGGCAGGCCUAACACAUGCAAGUCGAGCGGUAGCACAAGAGAGCUUGCUCUCUGGGUGACGAGCGGCGGACGGGUGAGUAAUGUCUGGGAAACUGCCUGAUGGAGGGGGAUAACUACUGGAAACGGUAGCUAAUACCGCAUAACGUCUUCGGACCAAAGUGGGGGACCUUCGGGCCUCACGCCAUCAGAUGUGCCCAGAUGGGAUUAGCUAGUAGGUGGGGUAAUGGCUCACCUAGGCGACGAUCCCUAGCUGGUCUGAGAGGAUGACCAGCCACACUGGAACUGAGACACGGUCCAGACUCCUACGGGAGGCAGCAGUGGGGAAUAUUGCACAAUGGGCGCAAGCCUGAUGCAGCCAUGCCGCUUGUGUGAAGAAGGCCUUCGGGUUGUAAAGCACUUUCAGCGAGGAGGAAGGGUAGUGUGUUAAUAGCACAUUGCAUUGACGUUACUCGCAGAAGAAGCACCGGCUAACUCCGUGCCAGCAGCCGCGGUAAUACGGAGGGUGCAAGCGUUAAUCGGAAUUACUGGGCGUAAAGCGCACGCAGGCGGUUUGUUAAGUCAGAUGUGAAAUCCCCGCGCUUAACGUGGGAACUGCAUUUGAAACUGGCAAGCUAGAGUCUUGUAGAAGGGGGUAGAAUUCCAGGUGUAGCGGUGAAAUGCGUAGAGAUCUGGAGGAAUACCGGUGGCGAAGGCGGCCCCCUGGACAAAGACUGACGCUCAGGUGCGAAAGCGUGGGGAGCAAACAGGAUUAGAUACCCCGGUAGUCCAA